UACAGAGGGUGCAAGCGUUGUUCGGAAUUAUUGGGCGUAAAGCGCACGUAGGCGGCAUUGCAAGUCCCAUGUGAAAGCCCACGGCUUAACCGUGGAAGUGCAUGGGAAACUGCAGUGCUUGAGUACUUAAGAGGAUCGCGGAAUUCCCGGUGUAGUGGUGAAAUGCGUAGAUAUCGGGAGGAACACCAGUGGCGAAGGCGACUUCCUGGCCUGUUCUUGACGCUGAGGCGCGAAAGCUAGGGGAGCAAACGGGG
rnacentral:rRNA from 1 species